UAGAGUUUGAUCCUGGCUCAGAUUGAACGCUGGCGGCAUGCCUUACACAUGCAAGUCGAGCGGCAGCGCGGGGGCAACCCUGGCGGCGAGCGGCGCACGGGUGAGUAAUGCAUCGGAACGUGUCCUCUUGUGGGGGGUAACCAGUCGAAAGACUGGCUAAUACCGCAUGAGCACGAGAGUGGAAAGCGGGGGACCGUAAGGCCUCGCGCGAGAGGAGCGGCCGAUGCCGGAUUAGCUAGUUGGUGGGGUAAAGGCCUACCAAGGCGACGAUCCGUAGCUGGUUUGAGAGAACGACCAGCCACACUGGGACUGAGACACGGCCCUGACUCCUACGGGAGGCAGCAGUGGGGAAUUUUGGACAAUGGGGGCAACCCUGAUCCAGCCAUGCCGCGUGAGUGAAGAAGGCCUUCGGGUUGUAAAGCUCUUUCGGCCGGAACGAAAUCGCGCGGGUGAACAAUCCGCGUGGAUGACGGUACCGGAAGAAGAAGCACCGGCUAACUACGUGCCAGCAGCCCCGGUCAA
rnacentral:rRNA from 1 species